rnacentral:lncRNA from 1 species
UUCCAUGAUAACAUAGUAAAUGAAAAAAACAAAUCAUCAGAUUCACAUCCCAAAUGUAUGGCUACGAUUAUUGAGUAAACCUUGCGAAUAAAAGACCACCGGAGUUCCGGCGACUCCGUCAUCGGACCACAACUUCAUGUCGCGAUGUGGUGGAGGAGGGUUUGAGCAGAUCUAGAAGUCGAUCAACCGUGAUUUUAUUGAAUCUGCUGGAAGAACCCACCGGAUCUCCAAAGAAUCGUUAUCUCCGGCGACGGUUAAGCAGCCGGAGAUCGGCGUCGUCGCUGCCGGUGAAUGUGCCGAACUGACAUCGAUGAUGAUGAUGAGGAGGAUGAUUGUAGCGUUGGUUAACCGGUGAGUUGAAUCGCCGGGGGAAGAUUCUCGGGUAAGAGAUUGUUAUGCGCGACGGUAGGAACCGUGGCCGGUGAUAAUUGUGUUAGUAGGCUACGUGUAUUAAUUAAUGUUAAAUUCAUAUGACAAUCUUGUCUAG